CCACAUUAAAAUUAAUACAUUAAAAUUAAUACAUUAAAAUUAAUACAUUAAAAUUAAUACAUUAAAAUUAAUACAUCAAAAUUAAUUAGGUAAUUUAGGGUGAAAACUCCACAAGGGUAUCCCACAAAUAAGUGGAAUACCUAGCCAUAACCUUUUCCUGGGUAUGUGAACCUUUUCGAAGCUCAAAAAGAAACAUGUCAGAAUACCAAAUCAGGGUGCAAUCGAAGAUUACACCGGAAAAAUAUCGCAACAGUAAAUAGGAUAGGAUGAAUAAUGCAUGGC
rnacentral:lncRNA from 1 species